AUUGAACGCUAGCGGCAGGCUUAACACAUGCAAGUCGAGCGAGCGGCGGACGGGUGAGUAAUGUAUGGGGACUGCCCGAUAGAGGGGGAUAACUACUGGAAACGGUGGCUAAUACCGCAUACUAUCGGAUAACCCAUAUGGGAUUAGCUAGUUGGUUGGGUAAAGGCUCACCAAGGCGACGAUCUCUAGCUGGUCUGAGAGGAUGAUCAGCCACACUGGGACUGAGACACGGCCCAGACUACUACGGAGGCAGCAGUGGGGAAUAGUGGACAAUGGGGGCAACCCUGAUGCAGCCAUGCCGCGUGUAUGAAGAAGGCCUUAGGGUUGUAAAGUACUUUCAGCGGGGAGGCUUUACCCGCAGAAGAAGCACCGGCUAACUCCGUGCCAGCAGCCGCGGUAAUAC
rnacentral:rRNA from 1 species